GACGAACGCUGGCGGCGUGCUUAACACAUGCAAGUCGAGCGGUAAGGCCCUUUCGGGGGUACGACGAGCGGCGAACGGGUGAGUAACACGUGGGUGACCUGCCCUCCAGCUCUGGGAGUAAGCCUGGGAAACCGGGGUCUAAUACUGGAUAUGACUCCAUGACGCAUGUUGUGGGGUGGAAAGCCUUGUGCGGCUGAGGAUGGGCCCGCGGCCUAUCAGCUUGUU
rnacentral:rRNA from 1 species